UGGGGAAUAUUGCACAAUGGGCGAAAGCCUGAUGCAGCGACGCCGCGUGAGGGAUGACGGCCUUCGGGUUGUAAACCUCUUUCAGCAGGGACGAAGCGCAAGUGACGGUACCUGCAGAAGAAGCACCGGCUAACUACGUGCCAGCAGCCGCGGUAAUACGUAGGGUGCAAGCGUUGUCCGGAAUUACUGGGCGUAACGAGUUCGUAGGCGGUUUGUCGCGUCGUUUGUGAAAACCAGCAGCUCAACUGCUGGCUUGCAGGCGAUACGGGCAGACUGGAGUACUGCAGGGGAGACUGGAAUUCCUGGUGUAGCGGUGAAAUGCGCAGAUAUCAGGAGGAACACCGGUGGCGAAGGCGGGUCUCUGGGCAGUAACUGACGCUGAGGAACGAAAGCGUGGGUAGCGAACAGG
rnacentral:rRNA from 1 species